rnacentral:rRNA from 1 species
UAGGGAAUCUUCGGCAAUGGACGAAAGUCUGACCGAGCAACGCCGCGUGAGUGAAGAAGGUUUUCGGAUCGUAAAACUCUGUUGGUAGAGAAGAACGUUGGUGAGAGUGGAAAGCUCAUCAAGUGACGGUAACUACCCAGAAAGGGACGGCUAACUACGUACCAG